rnacentral:RNase_P_RNA from 1 species
GAAGCAGGCCGGACGGUCGAGUCCCGAAAGCUUUCGGGAUUAGGAAAGUCCGGACUCCACCGGGCAGGGCGCCAGGUAACGCCUGGGCUCCCCGAUACAGUCGGGGGGACGGACAGUGCCACAGAAAGCAAACCGUCCCGACGCAGUCGGGAUAAGGGUGAAACGGUGCGGU